CAGCAGCCGGGUAAUACAGAGGGUGCGAGCGUUAAUCGGAUUUACUGGGCGUAAAGCGUGCGUAGGCGGCUUCUUAAGUCGGAUGUGAAAUCCCUGAGCUUAACUUAGGAAUUGCAUUCGAUACUGGGAAGCUAGAGUAUGGGAGAGGAUGGUAGAAUUCCAGGUGUAGCGGUGAAAUGCGUAGAGAUCUGGAGGAAUACCGAUGGCGAAGGCAGCCAUCUGGCCUAAUACUGACGCUGAGGUACGAAAGCAUGGGGAGCAAACAGGAUUAGAUACCCGCGUAGUCCCUGUCUCUUAUACA
rnacentral:rRNA from 1 species